rnacentral:lncRNA from 1 species
GGGAGCCCGGCGCAGGCGCGCUGAGCGCCGCCGUUUGACCGGCAGUUACCCCGCCGGCACGCGGCGCAGCGAAGUAGGUGAAAGGUAACUCGGUGUCAGCGCCCUCCGGAAAAGCGCGCCUUCCGCGGCGUGCGCGUGCGCGAGGGGGGAGGCGGGGGGAGGGAGAGCGCUUCCCUUCCUCCCCCCCCAACCUCCUCCUCCUCCUCCUCCUCCUCCUCCAUCCCCCGCGCGCUGCCUGCGUGUGCGCGUGUCCGUGCGUGUGAAGCGGGGUGUCUGCCCGGGGGGGGGUGGGGGGGCGUCCGACAUUGCCCCUGAAAGCCCCUUCCCUGACACACCUACUCUACUUUUUACAAGUUUUCGACCAAAAAAAAAAAAAAAAGCUAAAACGAAACAAAAAACAAAGCCCCCCACGCUUCCGUCACGCUGAAGUUGCGCGUGUUACCGCCGUCGUCAACGAAAAGCAGGACCCGGCCUUCCCGGUCACCAAGGCCACUGCUUCCUUUCGUUUAUGACUUAACUUUUGUAGGCGUUUUGUAACCAGUGUUAAGGCCGUCGGUCUUCAGUUGCUUGAACAAAUAUGUUGGUAUUUUAACAGAUUUUUGGGGUUUUGUUUUGGUUUGGUUUUUUGGGGGGUUUUUUGUUUGGGUUUUUUUUGUUUUCUUUCCCUGUCUCUAAGCUGACAGAGGCAGGAGGACAAAUGGCUGCCCUGUAGACCGACUGGCUUUUUAUCUGCUUUAUGAUCUCCCGUAAGGAGCUCAGAUCUACUAGUCUUCUCUGGAGACGCCUCGCCCCAGAAACAAUUGUUCCAGAUUCAAGUGGACGGCGUGGCCCAGUGCUAAGGAAGAUAAAUGUAUGUAACCUCACAGAACGUGCUGCUCUCCCACAACCCGAACAUGCUGGGACAGAACACAACUGCCCAGGAGGACAGCAGAGAGGCUGCAAGUAUAUUUCAAUAGAGAAGGAAAGAUAAGUUUGGUAUGAAACUUCAAAGUGUGCAGGGAAGAAUGUAUUAACCCUUCAUGUUUGUCCAGGCAGUCGGACAAUAGCAUUCCUAAAAGCAAACAUUUCUGCUUUACAGCACCCUCAGAAAUGCUGGAUACCUCACAGGACAAUUUGAAAAUAAGUUCUGGCUUAAAGUGUUUACAAUCCAUUUUCCUGACACUGGAGCAGCUGAUAUUAAACUUGGUCUGAAGUAGUUGGUAUAUGACAGGCACUUCAGCGUUUUGAUUCCGGCCCUUGAUUUGGUGUUGGGUUUGCACAGAAUUUGGGCGGCCACUUCUCCAAAUGUUCACCUUGCUUUGCUCCCCGA